GCGUCGGUGCCCCUUCCCGUCAGGCGGCGGCAACACCUGCCUCUUCCGCAACACACGCAUGGAUUCCAGCUCCUCCUCCACCGACCACCCUGCGUCCCUGCCCCCUGAUUUUCGCCACGAUUCCCACCUUCAGUUUCACCUCCAAUUCAAACAGUAGGAGAAAGUCGACGAGAGGAAGAUGAGAAGAAAAGGGAUGCGGAACUGAACUUCGGUGAUGGGAGGGACAACACCGGCGGAGUACGCGGCGGCCUUACCGUUUCCGCCUAUAUCAAUCAGGAGAUCCAGUAUGUCUGGACUCCUCCACGGUCACGAUGGCGGCCUUUAGCUGCUCAAGAAAUUUUGUGAUUUGCCGAGAGUAGAUGGUUCGCGUCCACGUUGAUGGAAGUGGUGGGAUCGAUGCUGGAGCGGCUUUUGGCUUUGUCGCUUGCUUGCGAGAAGAAGCUCUAAUUACCAGCUCAUUGUAAUUUCGGGGCUAUUCGCCCUCACUCGCCACGCCACACUUGUAGCUGCCACGGUGGCUUGGCUGGUGUUUGGAUGAGGUACUCCCUCCGUUCCAAAAUUAUAAAAUAUCUUAAGAAUUUUGGAGAGUCAAAAUAAUUUUAAAUUUGAUCAAGAUUAUAGAGAGUCAAAGCGAGGAGACGCUGGCCGCCGGCAGCUGUAACAAUCCAAAAAUUGGAAUUUAAAUGGAAAUACAAAAUUUUAUUCAAA